UAACAUAUCAGAUUUUGGUAUAAAAAUAAAAAUAAAUAAAAAUAGUAUGAGAUACUAUUUUUAUUGGAUUUGGAGAAGUGAAAUAUGAGUUAGAAAUGACUUGUGCUAAAAUCUGAAUGAAAACAGAAAAUUUAGAAUUUUCUGUUGGAAACGGGACCGAUAAAUUAGCAGAAAAUGCACAGUCUCAGAAAAUUAUGAAAAUUGGAGGAUAAGUCAGAAAUAUUUUUAUGAGGCUAGAUUUAAGGUUUCAUAUUUUUCUGACACCCGUAGAGUGAGAAAUAAAAUCCGAUAGUUAUCUGAUAAAGAUUACAGUUCAGUACAGUUUUCAGUGACCAAACGGGGUCGAAACUGAAAACUUAAGAUAUAUUCUUACUCAGUACGUUAAACCGAGCCUGCCUGUCAAAUUUGAGCUCAAACGGACAUUCAAAAGGGCUCCAACUGUUCCGAACUGCUAAACUGCCUGGAGUAAAUAGUGAAAUUGUUGGGGGGCUAUAUUGUAAAAGAGCAUUGCUCUUCUUCCACCCUCAGCCGUGCACCCCCCACACACUCGCACGCCACACACACACACACGCAAGGAGAGGAGAAAGAGAACCCUCCCUUAUUUCUCUCUAAAUUCUCUCCCAAAAGAGAGGGUUUUGUUGGAGAAGGAAGCUUGGAGGAAAGUCAUCUUCUUCAUCUUCCGCUUUAGCCAUUGGAGAGAAAGCUUUGAAGGCAAGCUUCAAAAUCCUUUAAUGGCAUGUAAUAUACCGAACUUCUAAUUCAUGAAGUUACGAUAUAUGUUAGCUUAGAAAGCCAUUGGAAUCAUUCCGGCGAAGUUCGGGAGCAUUUCGGGUGCUUCGAUGCGCAUAGGGCGCGAGAACGGAACCCGGAAGGCUAUGUUGGACCGUCGACUAAAUCCGGCAUUAGCGUGGAUGAAAAGAUGAUGAAAACAUGUUUGAAAACAUGUUUGGAGAGUCUCGGUUCGAUUUGAAAAGAAACGGAGGUCAAACGAGCGAAAACGAGCGAAAACGGAGUAAAAAAGGAUAAAGGCUGAAAAUGCUGAAAAUUUGGCUAAGUCUGGAAUUCUGGCCUUUCGGGGACCGGUCUCUCACCGCAAGGACCGGUCUCAGAACCCCGAAAAUGCCCAGUUUGGGCUGUUGCGAGGGAAGCAUUGUGGAGGGGCUUAAGUGCAAAAUGGCACUUAUGAGAGUGUAUAGAGAGGAUCCUUUCUCUCUUUCUCUCAUUUCUCUCACUCUCCCACACCAAAACCUCUCCCUCUCUCUCUCUAGAAAGAAAAGAAGGAGAAGAAGAGGGGAAAGAAAGGGAAGAAGAAGAUGAAGGAGAAGAGGCAAAGAAGAUGGAGCUUCAUCUUCAUCUCCUUCCUUGAGCCAUGUGAGCAAGCUUCUUGAGGUAAGCUUCUUGGAGCUUUAAUGGUAGAUCUUUAGGGUUAAGUUUUUAUACUCUAAAGAUGAUUUUAAUGGAAUCUUAGCAUGCUAAAUAGAUGGUUUAUGCUUGAUUCAUGAGAUGAAAUGGGGCAUUUUGCUAUAAUUGCAUUUAGGGCUCCAAAAAGGGGUUUUUGUAAAUAGUUGAGUUUGAUCUCAAUUGACCCUAUACAAACCUAAUUGGGGGUAUAACAAACGCGUUGGUGCGCUCGGUUCGACAAUCCGACGAGCGUACGCGAAGUUAUUGACGAAACAAUCUGUUUUGGUACAGAUAGCCGCAGCACGCGGGAUAAGCCUCCAAAAAUCAUGAAAAUGGAUCGGGAGCAUCGCGAUGUCGGGGAAUAAACUCCCGAACAGACGGAUCGCGGAUUGGUGACCGUUCGGGUGGUCGCGCAAGAGUUCGAGCCGAACCGGGUCACGGAUGCCGCGGGAGGCCGAUUGCAAGUGACGACAAGCAAUCGGAACGCGUUAAAAGGUGGGUUGUGCUUACCGAAGCGACUAGGUCGCCUUCAUGCCAAAGUGUAGUGUGUUUCACUAUUGAUGCAUGAUAAGAAUGUUAAAUAAGAAUGCAUGAUAAGAAUGCGAAGUAAGAAUGCACCAUAAUGAUAUUAAUAAAUGCAUAUAAUGGCAUGAUAAAGAUGAUAGGAAAUGUAUGCAUGUGAAGUAUGCUAAUGAAUGCUAGAGCUAAAUGCUAAAUGAAUAUGUAAGACAUAUGUUAGAUAAAUGCAUGAGUUAAAUGCUAAGUAACAUGAGCUAGAUGCAUGUCUUAGAAAUGGAUGCAUGAUGGAAAUGCUAAAAGAAUGUGUAUUGACAUAAUGUAAGAAUGCUAAAUAAGAAUGCAUGAUGAGAAUUGCUAAGUAAGAAUGCAUGUUAACAUGUUAUAGAAAUGCUAGAUGAAGCAUGAGUUAAAUGUUAAAGGCAUGUAUGAGAUGUAUGUUAAGUAAACAUAUGAGCUAAAUGUAUGAUCCAUAAUGUGAGAAUAUGUUAAAAUGACAUAAAGUAGAAUGCAUGCAUAAUGAUAAGAUAAGAAUGCUAAGUAAAGGAUGUGUGUAAGUUGACAUGAAUGCACCUAUAGAUCGUGUGGCAUGUCAAGUAUAAUUCCUAGGUGUGGACAACUAGGAAAACAAGAAUAUGAAUGGCAUUGAACCUAGAGUCAAAUAAACCUAGGUUGUAAAUGUAAUGAUAUAGAACCUAGAGUCAAAUGAACUUAGGUGAUAAAGAAUGUUGGACCUAGUGUCAAUGAACCUAGGCUAAGAAGAUAAUGACAUUGAACCUAAUGUAUUAACUUAGGUUGAGUAAAGGCUUGGACCUAGAUAGGUCGAUAACAUAGGGUGAGACCAACCCUUCAGUAAUGUAAAGUGGAUUCCGGAAUCCCUGCUGCUAGUGCAGCGGCUGCUAGUGCAGCAUACAAGCUCGAUAGUUCUUGGCCGCGGGUGCAUGUGGCGUGUUCCUCUCCCACCGGAAGAACUUCGAGGCUUGUCAAUGAGCAAGAACAAUGAGCGCUAGGGUGCAUGUGGCAUGUUCCUCUCCCUAUCGGGGAUCUCGGCUGCGGGUGUAUGCGGCAUGUUCCUCUCCCACCGGGGGAUCCCUGACCACGGGUGUACGCAGCUCUGGGCGACCCGUUGGGCGAUGUGGUUUGUGAUUGAGGGCUGAGGUGCAUGUGUGAGUUCCUUCACCUCGAGCCGGACAGAGCGCGGACUAUCCGCAGUUGAUUGACUCAAGACCGAGUCGGAUGGCAAAGUCGGCUAAGGUAAAGUAACCUUAGGAAAGAAAGGCUAAUGUGUAUAAUAUUACUAAGGUGUGAGUACCCUUAGUAAAGCGUAAAGAAUAAAGAAUGAAGAAUCAAGAAUAAGAAAAGGCUAAUGUUAAAGAAAGACAAGUAAUAAAGAAUAAAGAAAGGUUAAUGCUAAAGAAUAGCUAGUAAAGUAAAGAAUGAGUAAAAGUAAAGAACGGAUAAGAAUAAAAUGUAGAAGCAAUUAAUCUACUAUAUGAGUUGCAUAAAUUGCAUAUUGCAUGUUGUGAGGCAAAAGCAUGGUAAUGUUAGUUGCAUGAUUUAUGAUUUCAUAUCUAUCUAUUGGACUAACAUGUUGUUUGCCUCCUUUGACCUGAUGGUCGAGCUCUUCCCUUGGGUGGCCGUACCCACUGGGAACUAUGGAGUUAGUUCUCACCCCACGUUGUUUCGGGGUUUUACAGGUUCACACGCGAGCGGCGCGGCGGCGCGAGGAAAGGGCGUAGCUCCGUAGUUAGCGCCCUACCACUGAGACCAGAUAGCAGCACCCUGAGUCGGCUUCUUAGGGGUAUAAAAUGCAAAGAACCAAAAAUGUGAUAAUUGUAAGAACAAUGUUGUAAUAACUAUGUUAAAAUCGGAUUGUAUUUGGAAGUUAAGUGAAAGCUAAUGUAAGAAUCAAAUGAGAAUUGUGAUGUAAAAAUGUAUGAGUGUGAAUGCUUGUAAUAGCAAGUAGAUUUAUGUUUUUGAUACUUCCUUAUGCAAUCUUUGGUUGAAAUGUGUUCCUGGUUGGAACUUCGUACAUUGUAUUGAUUGCGACGCCUUGAACGUACAGGGGAGACUCUGUCCGCGGUACAGGGGAAACCCUGUCCGUUCGGCGGUCUGUUGGCGUGCUCGAAUCCGACCAAAGAGGCGGGCUCGGGGCGUGACAUGGCAUUUCUCUCUAGUUUGGUUUUUAAGCUCUAAGAAUAGGUUUAGAGGUAUUCUAGCAUGCUAAUUAGAGGUUUGAUGCUUGAAACCAAGGCUCUAAUGGUGGGUUUUUUCCUAGUAGUAAACCUAAGGUUCGAAAUGCAAUUUUUGGAAAUAUGAUGGUUUGAUCUAAAUUGAACCUAUAUAAACCUAAUUGCUAGGUAACGAAUUGCUAGGUGGGUUGUGUUUACCGAAGUGACUAGGUCACCUUCAUGUCAAAGUAAAACAUGAGAUUCAUAUAGAUGCAUAUUAUUAUGUAUGCUAAUUGAUAGUGCAUGAUGAUGCAUUGAAGUGCAUGCUAGUUGAUAAUGAAAAAUUGAUAUGUUGAAGUAUGUGCUAGAUGAUAUUGCAUAUGAACACAUGAUGACAUGAUAUAGAGAACAUGAACAUACAAAUGAAUGUUAACGCUUUGUUAAUCAUGUGAGUUAUGAGAUCAUGUUGGAUAAUGCUUAGUGACAUAAUGAGAAAUUGUUAAUUAUACAUACACGUUAGCAUUAUGUAAAUGUAUGCUAGUUGGUAGAACACAUACUAGUGAUAAUUGCAUAAUAAUGCAUUGGAAAGUACAUGCUAGAAACUAGAUGCAAGCGAGAUAUAUAUGUGCAUUGGAAUGUAUGCUAGGUGCAUGUAGCAUUAUGUGAGCCGGUUGGAUAAAAUGCAUAAGUGCAUCAUGUGAAUACAUGUUAAAUGGUAUGGCAUAUUAACACUAUGAAAAAUAUAUGCUAGAGGAAAAUGUUUAGUGACGUACUAAGAAUAUGUAGCUAUAACUCGAUGUGGACAAUUAGGUGUCAACUAGAUCGAGUGGCAUUAACUUAGUGUAUUAAACAUAGGUCAAAUGUGAACCUAGGGUCGAGAACCUAGGAGGAGCAAGAAUGGCAUUUAACCUAGUGUCGUGAACCUAGGCUAGAUCGAGUGGCAUUAACCUAGUGUCAUGAACAUAGGUUGACAUUGAUCCUAGUGUUGUUGAACCUAGAGUUAAUAAAAAUCUAGGUAGAGAGGUAUUAACCUAGUUUAAAGAACAUAGGUUAUGUGAUGAGGGCGUUAAACCUAGAGUCGGGUAGACCUAGGAUAGAAAGUGCAUUGGACCUAGAUAGGUCGAUAUCAUAGGGUUUGAGAUUACCCUAGAGACUUGGAAAGUCGAUUCCGGAAUCUUAGGAUUGUGAACUCGAUAGUUCUAAAGCCGUGGGGGCAGUUGGCAAUGUUCUCCUCCCACUGGAUGAACUUCGAGAAUGAGCAUCAGGCUGAUUCGAGGCCGCGGGUCGAGUGCGGCAGGGUUCCCCCUCCCGUCGGCAGAAUCGUGCUUCGCUAGGGUUGAGUGUGGCAGGUCCCCUUCCCUAUCGGGGGUCUUGGGCCGCGGGUUGAGUAUGUGGCAUAAUCCCCUUCCCACCGGAAAGAUCCCUGACCACGGGUGUACGCAGCUCUGGGCGACCCGUUGGGCGAUGAGUGUAUGGAUUGGAGGCUGAGGUCCGAGUGAGGAUUCCUCCACCUCGAGCCGGACAGAGCGCGGACUAUCCGCAGUUGAUUGACUCGAGGCCGAGUCGGGUGGCUAGUGGUAAUGUGAUGGAUCUAAGGUAAUAGAAACCUAAGAGGUUAGUUGGAUCUGAGCGAGAUAGCAAGAUAGAAGUAGAAUCAAGUGAUUUACUUAUGAUAGUUGCAUAAUUGCAUUGUUGCAUAUAGCAUGGCAUUGUUGUAAUUCUGAGGCAAAGCAUGGUUUCAUUAAUUGCAUAAUCAAUAUAUAUAUAUAUCUAUCUGUUUAUUGAGCUAACCUGCAGUUGCCUCCUUUGAACCUGAUGGCCGAGCUUUUCCCUUGGGUGGCCGUACCCACUGGGAACCAUAGAGUUGGUUCUCACCUCUCGUUGUUUUGGGGUGUUUACAGGUUCGCACGUGAGCGGCGCGGCGGCGCGAGGAAAGGGCGUAGCUCCGUAGAUAUUGCCCUACCCCAGAGAUCGGAGCUAGAAGUACUCCGUCGACAUCGCUUAGGGGUUAAGAGAAUGAAAAGAACAUAAUGUAUCAAAUUUGUAAUAAGUAAAUGUUGUAAUAACUUAGAUUGCAUUUGGAUGAAUAGAACGGUGGUUGAGAUGUAAAAUGCAUGUGAAUGAAUGUAAUAACAUAAGAUGUGUUUAUGUUGUUUGAUACCUUCCUUAUGCAAUCUUGAUUGAAAUGUGUUCCUGUUUGAAACUUCGUACAUUGUAUUGAUUGUGAUGCCUUGAACGUACAGGGGAGACUCUAUCCGCAGUAUAGAAAAAACCUUGUCCGUUCGGCGGUCUGUAGGCGUGCCCGAACCUGACCAAACAGGCGGGGCUCGGGGGCGUGACAGAUAAGAUAGUAUCAGAGCAUAAAGUAGAGAAUGGAAAAAUAGUUUAGAUGACCUAGGAGACCCUAGGAUAGAGAAACCAUAGAGGCUAAGGCUCGUGAGAGACGAGGAUUUGAGACGUGUGGCGAAAGGAUUAUGGAUUGGGUUGUGUUAUUAACCUCUAAGACGGAUAUUAGAGGUAGACUUGAGGUAUGCUCUAUUCUCAACCAAGGGAGUUCAUGUUGGCGCGUGACAACAUGAAACCGAGCGAUGAGAAUAGACACCCUCGCAUGACUUUCGCCUGAUUGACUUUUGAGUUGUGUUAAUGGUUUCGUGUUUGACCCUGAGGGUCGAGAGCUAAUCGAGUUGUUCUGUUUCAGGAAGCGAUGGCACCGCGCAGGCGAUCUUCAUCCAGAUCGGCGUGAGGCGGGACAAGUGAUGUCCCUGAGCAAGUCGAGGCGAGCGGAGACCCGAUGCUCUGCGAGCAGCUGAAUACGCUCAUGGGCGUAGUGCAGCGCCAGGAGGAGCAGAUCAAGGAGCUCCAUGAGUUGUUGGCACGAUAGGCUGCGGCGGCUGCGCCGGUAGCAGUGCGCCGUGUACCGUCAGGAGCAACGGUAGAUUCGGGGGCUGUGGCCCCUGGUUCUAUGGAGAUGGAGGCGGAACGGAAACGAGCUGUGGCAGUGCUCAUGGCUUUCAAGAAAUUUAAGCCGCCUACCUUUGACGGAGAGUCGGUGGAUCCGUAGAUCGUGGAGAUGUGGAUUGACUCCAUGGAGACUCUCUUUGAGAGCUUGUAUACCUUGGAACGAAACAAGGUGAACCUAACCGCACAUUGCUUAGAGAAGUCGGCGAAGGUGUGGUGGAAAGGCGUCAAACGGGAUUGAACGCCUAGUCUCCCUCCUAUGACUUGGGAUGAGUUUCGGGGAUUGGUAUUCUCUGCAUAUUUUCCCGACAGUGAGAAAAGAAGGCUUCAAGAGAGAUUUAGGAAGCUGCGCCAGGGAGACCGUACUGUGAGGGAAUAUGAACAGAAAUUCACUCGUAUUGUGAAUUGUGUUCCAUAUGUGGUGCAGGAUGACAAGGACAAGGCGGAUUGCUUUGUACGGGGACUUCGGCCGGAAGUGUUCCAUUAUGUGCAUCCAUUCAAGUUGCAGACAUUUGCCGAGGUCGUGGACCGAGCCUUGUGGGUAGAGCAAGGCGAUGACUCCAUGCGAGAGGAGCGCGAGUUUGAUGAGCAAGAAGCUAAAGCAGUGCGACUGAGAGACCUUUCAGGUGGUCAAUCAAGUUCCAGGUGACCCUGAAUCAGUCACAGUCUCGAACCCUGAAGUUGUCUCCUAGCCGGUCUUCUUCGGGAUGUGUGAUUUGUGGUGGAUCCCAUAGGGCGCGGCGGUGUGCACUACGAGAGGGAAGAUGUUUUUAUUGUGGGCAAGCAGGCCACACGAAGUUUGAUUGUCCCAUGGACGAUGGACAACCCUCGCCGAUAGCGACGGCAUUCCCCUCAUCGGGACAACCCGUGGAUGUGCAACCUUUGGCACGAUCUGGAGAGCGAGGUGUGAGGAUUGGGCAGCCGGAGGGCGCACGGCGAGUGCCAAGUAGCCAGACAUACGCGACCCAAGUUGAGGAACCUGCUGCUGCUGGGGAUAUCAUCGCAGGUAUGAUUUAAUUGCGGCAAUUAUACACUUCUGCAUGAUAUAGAAUUGAAGCAUUGCAUGCAUUUACUUCAUAAUUGUCUACUACUACUUAUGCAUAAAUAUAGUAGAGACUGGGACAGGGGUUAGUGUAGCUACCCUAGCAUGCAUGAGUCGUGAUAGUGCGUCGCCUACCUAAAUGGAUAGGUGAUUGGUUAGUUGCCGAGCACGGGCACGUGGACCUAGUGGCACCUCUAAACGAGGUGGGUAAGUCGUGCUCGUGUAGUCGGUGUGCAUAGGCAGGGUUGCCUAAUGCUGAGCUUAGUAUACGGCAUGUAGAGCGCUUGAGCGUGGGUACUAAUAGAGUACGAUUGUGACCCAACCCAGGAAUCUGUAAUGGUUUGGGAUCUUAGUUACUCCUGGUUGGAGUGUGUGCGAGUUCCCAAGUGAGAAUUUCGCCCGAUAGUAAUUGGGUCUACGAUAGUGAGCGAGACACACUAUGCGUUGUUCAGACAGGUGUAGGCGAUAGACCUAUGUAGGAUUGGUGGUCCUUGGUCCACCUAUGAAAACCGAUGAUCGAUGCGGCCGGCAACUCUUGUUAGUGAGUUGGGCUUGGAUUCACGAAUGGAGGAUUCGUGUGUUGUGAACGUGGCUUAUAGUAUCAAAGGAUAGAGGAAGGUAAAGUGGUCUCUAGGAGACACUUGAGUAAUGAAUAGCCGUGUUAGGAUUGGAGUUGAUGCUCCCCAAUGAAUUGGAGGUCGAGGAUAAUGCUCUUUUGUGGAUUGAGUUGGAGAUGUGCCGGAGUGGGCCAUCUCGUGAUAGAGCAAAGAUCUAGUUGAGAGUUGGAGCACUCGCGAUUGGUCGAGGCACCUAUGGAUUGCUUUUAAGCAAUGUCGGUGAUCGAAUUGGGAGGCAUUCCCUGAAUGGAAGGCCAGUGCAAAGAAGAGUUCUUUGCGUACCGAAUGGCGAGUGGUGUUGGAGCGCGUAAAGUCGUUGAGUACCGACUUGUGCAGCCACUAUGACUUGCAAGACCGUGAUGCACUCCUGCAUCACACUUUGCAAAUGAGUUUAAUAUUAAACCCGUGUCCUUUAGAAUGAGCCGCUUCUAGAAAUACGAUGGUGUGGAGCCGUUCUGGAGUGGAAGAAUGAGUUGGUACCCUCAAUUGCUCGUGAAGCUGAAUUGAGGUGUGGUUUGAAUUUCGCGGACGAAAUUCUUUUUAAGGGGUGGAGAAUGUAACAUACCAGAUUUUAGUAUAAAAAUAAAAAUAAAUAAAAAUAGUGUGAGAAGCUAUUUUUAUUGGAUUUAGAGAAGUAAAAUAUAAGUCAGAAAUGACUUGUGCUGAAAUCGGAAUGAAAACAGAAGAUUUAGAAUUUUCUGUUGGAAACGGGACCGAUAAAUUAGCAGAAAAUGCACAGUCUCAGAAAAUUAUGAAAAUUGGAGGAUAAGUCAGAAAUGUUUUUAUGAAGCUAGAUUUAAGGUUUCAUAUUUUUCUGACACCUGUAGAGUGAGAAAUAAAAUCCGACAGUUAUCUGAUAAAGAUUAUAGUUUGGUACAGUUUUCAGUGACCAAACGGGGUCAAAACUGAAAACUUAAGAUAUAUUCUUACUCAGUACGUUAAACCGAGCCUGCCUGUCAAAUUUGAGCUCAAACGGACAUUCAGAAGGGCUCCAACUGUUCCGAUCUGCUAAACUGCCUAGAGUGAAUAGUGUAAUUGUUGGGGGGCUAUAUUGUAAAAGAGCAUUGCUCUUCUUCCACCCUCAGCUGUGCAACCCCCACACACCCGCACGCCACACACGCACACACGCAAGGAGAGGAGAAAGAGAACCCUCCCUUAUCUCUCUCUAAAUUCUCUCCCAAA
rnacentral:lncRNA from 1 species